GAGGGUAUAGCUCAAGUGGUAGAGCACAUGCUUAGCGUGAACAAGGUCCUGGGUUCAAUCCCCAGUACUUCCA
rnacentral:tRNA from 1 species